AUUGAACGCUGGCGGCGGGCUUAACACAUGCAAGUCGAGCGAGAACCAGGACUUCGGUCCCGGGGACAGCGGCGAACGGGUGAGUAACACGUGGAUAACCUGCCCUCGGCACCGGGAUAGCCCGGGGAAACCCGGAUUAAUACCGGAUGGCCCUUCCGGCUCACGAGCCGGUCGGAAAAGGUAGCUUCGGCCUCCGGCCGAGGAUGGGUCCGCGGCGGAUUAGCUUGUUGGUGGGGUAACGGCCUACCAAGGCUCCGAUCCGUAGCUGGUCUGAGAGAACGAUCAGCCACACUGGGACUGAGACACGGCCCAGACUCCUACAGGAGGCAGCAGUGGGGAAUCUUGCGCAAUGGGCGAAAGCCUGACGCAGCGACGCCGCGUGAGGGAGGAAGGCCUUCGGGUUGUAAACCUCUUUCAGGAGGGACGAAGCUACUCGGGUGAAUAGCCCAGAGGGUGACGGUACCUCCAGAAGAAGCCCCGGCUAACUACGUGCCAGCCGCCGCAGUAA
rnacentral:rRNA from 1 species